CAGGAAGAAAACAAGGCAGGGAGCAUGAAGUUACAGACAAUCCUAAAGCAUUUACUAGCCAAGAAGAACUGUUUGGAUAUUUGGAAUGGGGCACACUGAUGCAGAGUCACCACCUUCCACAUCUGGAGAAGAGCAUCAGGCCCUGUCACAGGGAUUCUGCUCAACUGCCAAGAGCGUCAGGAGAGAUACAUCUGUGCGGCGGAGUCAGCAAAGACCUGCAAAGACACCAGUAGCCCUGCAUGGGCAUGCGUGGCACCAUGUCUCUGCUGAUGCCAUGGGAUUUCUGCAGCUCUGCAGGGAGCUUCAGCACUCUUAUGUUGCAGAUGGCUAGGACUGCGUCCUGGCCGUGCAGCAUGAGGCUGGCAAAUGCUUCCUCGAUCUCUCUGCAGAAGAAGGACCUCAUCCCCAGGGCAGAAGUAGAAAGGGUGCAGUAGAGGGUGAAGCCUGAGCAGCACAGCACCUUUUAUUCUGCAGCUGAAAAAGUCCAUGUGGUAGGCUGCUCUUGAGGGCACUUCACAUCGACCACUUGGCACCAGCACAGUCCUGCCCACUGAGGACAGUAGCCCUGUGAUGGCUCUCA